CUCUUAUCAAGAGUGACGGAGGGAACAGGCCCGAAGAAGUUCGGCAACCACAAGCAAUGCUUGUAAGGUGCUAAAUCCUGCAGACAAGAUCAUGUCUGGAAGAUAAGAG
rnacentral:ncRNA from 1 species